rnacentral:rRNA from 1 species
CGGGACGGGUGAGUAACGCGUGAGUAACCUGCCUUACACAAGGGGAUAGCCGUUGGAAACGACGAAUAAUACCCUAUGACAUAAACUCUUCGCAUGAGGAGCUUAUCAAAGAUUUAUCGGUGUAAGAUGGACUCGCGUCUGAUUAGCUAGUUGGUGAGGUAACGGCCCACCAAGGCGACGAUCAGUAGCCGGCUUGAGAGAGUGUACGGCCACAUUGGGACUGAGACACGGCCCAGACUCCUACGGGAGGCAGCAGG